rnacentral:tRNA from 1 species
GGGCCUAUAGCUCAGUUCUGGUUAGAGCGCACGCCUGAUAAGCGUGAGGUCGGAAGUUCAAAUCUUCCCAGGCCCACCA